rnacentral:rRNA from 1 species
AAAACUAGGAUUAGAUACCCUAUUAUUUAAAAUGUAAUUUGAUACGCUGAGGUAGUAGUAGUUAUGUUCUUGAAACUUAAAAAAUUUGGCGGUAUUUUAGUCUAUUCAGAGGAACCUGUCCUGUAAUUGAUAAUCCACGAUGAACCUAACUUAAAUUUGUUUUUCAGUUUAUAUACCGUCGUUAUCAGAAUAUUUUAUAAGAAUAAUAAUUUUCUAUAAUUUAAAUAAGAAUGUAUAUCAGAUCAAGGUGUAGCUUAUGUUUAAGUAGAGAUGGGUUACAAUAAAUUUAUUUAGACGGAUCUAAAUUUGAAAUUUUUAGUGAAGGUGGAUUUGAAAGUAAAAUUUUAAAGAUUAUGAGUUUGAUUUUAGCUCUAGAAUAUGCACACAUCGCCCGUCGCUCUUACUACUAAGGUAAGAUAAGUCGUAACAUAGUA